rnacentral:rRNA from 1 species
UACGUAGGGUGCGAGCGUUGUCCGGAAUUAUUGGGCGUAAAGAGCUCGUAGGCGGUCUGUCGCGUCGGUCGUGAAAACUUGGGGCUUAACCCUGAGCUUGCGGUCGAUACGGGCAUGACUGGAGUUCGGCAGGGGAGACUGGAAUUCCUGGUGUAGCGGUGAAAUGCGCAGAUAUCAGGAGGAACACCGGUGGCGAAGGCGGGUCUCGUGGGCCGAUGACUGACGCUGAGGAGCGAAAGCGUGGGGAGCGAACAGG